ACUCCUACGGGAGGCAGCAGUGGGGAAUAUUGCACAAUGGGGGAAACCCUGAUGCAGCCAUGCCGCGUGUGUGAAGAAGGCCUUCGGGUUGUAAAGCACUUUCAGUAGGGAGGAAGGUAGUGUAGUUAACACCUGCAUUAUUUGACGUUACCUACAGAAGAAGCACCGGCUAACUCCGUGCCAGCAGCCGCGGUAAUACGGAGGGUGCGAGCGUUAAUCGGAAUUACUGGGCGUAAAGCGCAUGCAGGCGGCCUGUUAAGUCAGAUGUGAAAGCCCGGGGCUUAACCUCGGAAUUGCAUUUGAAACUGGCAGGCUAGAGUCUUGUAGAGGGGGGUAGAAUUUCAGGUGUAGCGGUGAAAUGCGUAGAGAUCUGAAGGAAUACCAGUGGCGAAGGCGGCCCCCUGGACAAAGACUGACGCUCAGAUGCGAAAGCUGGGGAGCAAACAGGAUUAGAUACCCUGGUAGGAUAGCG
rnacentral:rRNA from 1 species